GCGCUCUCCACACUAUUUCUCUACCACACUCCAUCUAUAAAAGCCCUUCCAGCCUCUUGCACUCCCUUCUCAGCCGCAGCUCCAGUUGCUUGCAAGUUACAAGGCGUUCAGAGGGGGCAACCAAACACACAGACAGACAUGGGAUCCUUGGGCCCUGCCGUGAACGUGAGCAUGGCCAAGGCCAGCGGCGGCACGGCGGCCGUCGGCGGCCAGCAGCAGCAGCAGGAGCGCGGCACGUUCAGCUGCGGCUUCCGGAUGCCGCUGCACUACCCGCGGUACAGGAAGGCGGACUACGAGGCGAUGCCGGAGUGGCGCGUCGACUGCCUGCUCCGGGAGUACGGCCUCCCCGUCGCCGGCGACGUCGAGGACAAGAGGAGGUUCGCCAUGGGCGCCUUCCUCUGGCCCAGCCAGUACUGAUUCGCCUUCUUACGUCUUGCCACUCGGAGCAGAGGCCGGUCAGCAAGCUAGCGCCGAGCAGAGACUGAUCAGCAAUGGCAGCAGAAAGAUCACGUACGUCCCCAUGUAUGAAGAUGGCGAUAUAUAUUCUUAUCUACUCCCUCCGUAAAAAAGUGAUCUAAACGCUUUUAUAUUUCUUACAGAGGGAGUAUAAUCUAAUUGUAUCUCCAAUUCUCCAUAGAGAAUAUAUAUCAUGCUUCUUGAAGUAUAUGCAUGUAAGCAGUGGAAGAAGGUGUUGUUUCUGAAAUUCAUACGAGUAAUUUAGUGUUUCCUAUGUACGUGCGACCUUGAUCGUUUUGCACAGGCUCCAGGGUCCUAAGAAUCUGCUCUCUUGUUUGAGGCGUGUCAUCUUUCUGCUUGUGUCUUCAGAGUAGUCUUGGUUGUUGCAUGCUUUCUACUGCUCUUACAAUUGAUUACCACUUCACCGGUUACCAUCACACAUUUACAAUUCGUUUAUUGAGUUAUUUGCAGGGAUUCAUGAAUUAAAGAAUUUUUUUUAGAAUUAUUAUUAAAAGGUUCUGAACCUGGAAUGCCUCGCUGACAGUUUCUGAUAGCAACGAGCUAGGCUGAUUAACAGAAGGGAAAUGUUCAUUUACCAAACUGAACAAUGCUUGGGCCUGCUUCCUUCUACAUCAAAUACUUGGGCCUCCUCCUCUCGGUUUGGCAACUUCGAAAAGUUGAUUUCCAAUUCCUUGAAGAUAAGGUUGUGGACUUGCGGCAAGGCUUGUGCCUUGGAUGGGCAAAAUAUUGCCACCACGAGACGAGUAGCACUUGUCAAGUCAGUGUUCACCUCGCAAGUAAUUUGCCACAUCACCGCCCUCAAUCCUCCUCCGAACACUCUACAUGGCAUUAACAAAAUUGAGCGGGCCUUUCUUUUGGCGGGUGCAGAGAAACAACUGGGGCAAAGUGCAAAGUCAAUAGAAACUCUGGCCCAACCGACCUUGGAGGCUUGAGAAUCCUCGAUCUUGCCAAGUUUGCAAGGACUUCUAGGCUAAGAUGGCUUUGGUUCGAACGGAAGGAGCCAACAAAGAUGUGGGUUGGAUUGGGAAAUCCUUGUGAUGAGUUGGACCGCAACCUCUUAUAUGCCUCCACGCACAUUACCAUUGGC
rnacentral:rRNA from 1 species